AGAGUUUGAUCCUGGCUCAGAAUCAACGCUGGCGGCGCGCUUAACACAUGCAAGUCGCACGAGAAAGGGAGCAAUCCUAAGUAAAGUGGCGCACGGGUGAGUAACACGUGGAUCAUCUACCUUUUAGUGGGGAAUACCUCUGGGAAACCGGAGACAAUACCGCAUAAGCCUGUAAAGGGAAAGCAGCAAUGCGCUGAAAGAGGAGUCCGCGGCCGAUUAGCUAGUUGGCGGGGUAACGGCCCACCAAGGCGAAGAUCGGUAGCCGGCCUGAGAGGGCACACGGCCACACUGGCACUGAAACACGGGCCAGACUCCUACGGGAGGCAGCAGUGGGGAAUCUUGCACAAUGGGCGAAAGCCUGAUGCAGCGACGCCGCGUGAGCGAUGAAGCCCUUCGGGGUGUAAAGCUCUUUCGACGGGAACGAUAAUGACGGUACCCGGAGAAGAAGCUGCGGCUAACUACGUGCCAGCAGCCGCGGUAAUACGUAGGCAGCGAGCGUUGUUCGGAAUUACUGGGCGUAAAGAGUGUGUAGGCGGUGUUCCCAGUCUGUUGUGAAAUCUCCCGGCUUAACUGGGAGGGUGCAGCGGAAACUAGAAUGCUAGAGGGUGGGAGAGGUAAGCGGAAUCCCUGGUGUAGCGGUGAAAUGCGUAGAUAUCAGGAGGAACACCUGGUGUAGACAGCUUACUGGACCACUUCUGACGCUGAGACACGAAAGCGUGGGUAGCAAACAGGAUUAGAUACCCUAGUAGUCC
rnacentral:rRNA from 1 species